AUGUUAUGGACCUAUUCUAAUGCUAGGGGACAGAAGCAUCCUAUAUCUGUGAUCACGGAUGGGGACCUUGCAAUGAAGAGAGCAAUCAGGGUGGUGUGGCCCGACUCAAACCAUAGGCUCUGUAUAUGGCACAUUCAGCAGAACAUUGUACGCCAUCUGCAUGAUGACGCAGUAAAGGAGGAAUUCAGAUCUUUUAUAUACGAUACAUCUUCCAUUGAAGAGCAUGAGAGAAAAUGGUUACACUUCUUACAACGGAAUAAAGUAACAAGUGAGGACUCCUGGCUGCAUCUGAUGUAUAAGAUGAGAAAACUAUGGUGUGCUCCAUAUCUUGAGGGCCGUUGUUUCCUAGGAUUGAGCAGCAAUCAGCGGAGUGAGAGUUUAAACUCGGUGCUACAUACGCAUCUUGAGGCUAAGAUGAUGUUGUUUCAAAUGCUAGAGCACUAUGAGCAUUGCCUUGCGUCGCGACGCUUGAACGAGGCUCUCCAAGACGUCGAGGCCUUGCAGUCCGUUCCGUUCACACAGGAAAAUGCUUUAGUUCUUGAGAAACACGCCGCCAAAGUUUUCACUCCUUUUGUGUUUAAGUUGGUCUUAUGGAGCAUAGAUGCUGUCAAAAAAUGUGAGAUGAGAGAGGUACUUGAUGCAGUAGAGGUUACCACAUACGUUGUGUCUAAGAAGGAAAGAAUGGGUAAAAAGAUCGAAGUGCGCAUGGAGUCGAAGGAAGGUCUGCUUCACAGUAUCAGUUGUUCUUGCCGCAAAUUGGAAUGCGCAGGCACACCAUGUUCCCACAUAUUUUACAUAUUGGAAAUUUUAUAA
rnacentral:rRNA from 1 species